rnacentral:rRNA from 1 species
UUACUCAGUUCAGAUUGCAGGCUGCAACCCGCCUGCAUGAAGUCGGAAUUGCUAGUAAUCGCGGAUCAGCAUGCCGCGGUGAAUACGUUCCCGGGCCUUGUACACACCGCCCGUCACACCAUGGGAGCCGGUAAUACCCGAAGUCAGUAGUCCAACCUCGUGAGGACGCUGCCGAAGGUAGGAUUGGCGACUGGGGUGAAGUCGUAACAAGGUAAC